UGCCAUGAUUUUUCUCAAAUUGUGGCAAAGAGGUGCUAAAUUAUGUACUUGUGCAAAUUUGGUAUUUUUACUGUGAGUUUGGAAAAUUGCAGCAAUAAUAUCCUAAAUGUAGAAAAAUACAGUAAAGAUUCAACAUGCAAAUAUUUUCUGUGUAAUAUUGCAGCUAAGCCCGAUUCACCUCAGCUGUAUCACUGCUGCGGUAUCUAGGAGAAAGCAGACCUUUUAUGUAAUCCUGUAAACCACAAAUAUGUAAUAAGGAAAAACAAAUACGAUACCCGGGGUUUAUAAAAUCCUACGUUCAGCACUGGAACCAGAGGUGGAGCUGUUAUGCAAAUAUAUGUUUUGAAUUUAAAAUAUAAAUGUUUGGAUCUCUGUAUCUCAGUUAUCUAGUUACAGGUUCUUACAUUGUAUCAGUGACGAUGGACAUGAUAUUACUUCUCUUGGUGUUUUUUCCAAUAAGUGUCAUCUGUCAGACAAUACAGGAGUCAGGUCCAGGACUUGUGAGACCUUCACAGCCACUUGAAAUGACCUGUAUAGUAUCUGGAUUUGAGUUUACCAACUAUCAUAUGUAUUGGAUUAGACAAGCACCUGGGAAAGGAUUGGAAUGGAUUGGAGCAGCAUGGAGUUAUGGUGGCACUGCUUACGCUGAUUCACUGAUGAGCCGAACCACAAUCUCAAAAGACAAUGUCAAGAAGCAGGUCAAACUCCAGAUUAAUAACAUGGAGACUGCAGAUUCUGGAGUGUAUUAUUGUGCGAGAGGCACAGUACAACAAAGCAAUGAGGAGAUCGAACAAAAUCCAGCUGUGUCUAAAAGGAAGUAAUCAAAACAACCACAAGAGAAA